AUCCAGAUAGUUCAGUGAUUAGAAUAUCUGCUUCUUUUAGCAGAAGACCUGGGUUCAAGUCCCAGUCUGGAUA